rnacentral:rRNA from 1 species
UUGCUCUUAUGAAGUUAGCGGCGGACGGGUGAGUAACACGUGGGUAACCUGCCCAUAAGACUGGGAUAACUCCGGGAAACCGGGGCUAAUACCGGAUAACAUUUUGAACCGCAUGGUUCGAAAUUGAAAGGCGGCUUCGGCUGUCACUUAUGGAUGGACCCGCGUCGCAUUACCUAGUUGGUGAGGUAACGGCUCACCAAGGCAACGAUGCGUAGCCGACCUGAGAGGGUGAUCGGCCACACUGGGACUGAGACACGGCCCACACUCCUACGGGAGGCAGCAGUAGGGAAUCUUCCGCAAUGGACGAAAGUCUGACGGAACAACGCCGCGUGAGUGAUGAAGGCUUUCGG